GUUGAAGAGCUCAGCUCAGGAUGGGAUGGCUGGUCCCAGCAGCUGAUGGAAGCCUCCAGAGUGAGAUAGGAGAUUGCUUCUAUGGACUUCUCAAAGGUGGGUCAGGCUGUCAGGGGAGAACCCAGAGGCUGUAUGUGGCCAUGGCUACAGGAUCGACGGGGCAUGAGCUGGAGAAGAAGCAGCCACGCCAUGCGGCAUGUGGGAUCUCAGUUCCCCGACCAGGGAUUGAACCCGCACCUCCUGCAGUGGAAUUGUGGAGUCUUAACUACUAGACUGCCAGGGAAGUCCCUGCAUUUUUAAUAAGCAUCUUAGAUAGAGCUUAAUGGGGAGUAACGUUUGGAUGUAUCAUCUAUGAAAAGAAUCUCAAGAUCACUUGCCUCUCUGACGUAUGGAAUUUCUUCUUUUUUGUACAUUCUUCAGCUUUUGGUUUUAAUUGUGUCCUUGUAGUCUCUUGGGAUAGGAAUGCCUCUCCUGGAUUAUUUUCUCCACUGUGUCUAGGAAGUCUGCAUCUUUCCGAAUGAGUUGUGCUGUCAAAGAGUGUCCCUAGAAAUCUUUCAUGUUCUAUCUAAGAGGAAGAUGACUUGCAUUUAUAGCACACAGUAUAGGCAGUGACCUUGGGCAAGAAGAAAAGCAAUGAUAUUAAUACCAUAUAUUUGAAUAAUGUUCUACAGUUCACAAUUAAGAAAUUGAGGUUCAAAGAAGACAAGGCCUUACCAUAGGUCAGUGGACUUAUAUAUGGAAGGAUGGGUCCUGGAGUCAGGGUCUUCCAACAACUGGCCUGCUGAUGCUGACACAUGCCACCCAACGGCCUCCUGAAUGGCUUUCGUGCACAUACCUUGUUCAAGUAUGUGGAGGAGACCAAACUGAAAAGAAAGCAUCAUAGGUUUUAGACUGAAACAAAUCAGGGCUAACCAGAAGAAACCUUUUAGGCCAAAGGCCACUUGAGGUGGCCCUGGUUCCUCCAUGUUUCACUCACUGGCUCCUUGUAUCUGCUGGACCUGCAUUUCCAUUCACCAUGUCUCAGGAGGAAAACGAUUCUAGUGACCUCGCUGUAGGGAGAUGGGAGCCUCAGGCAUCUUAUCAAACUGCCAGGCUGUUCUACAUAAGCAGGGCUCUUGGCUCUGGUGUAGGAAAGCAAUGCCAUUGUCGGCUAACACUCAAGCAUCUUGGCGAACUUGCUAAGUGUGUGGGGAGCCCUAACCACUGUUGUUGGCGGGAAGACCAAGCUAUCACUUGUACCUCACUUUCAGAAUUCGGCCCUGUUUAAAUUAAGCUCUGCAGGUGGAGUCCUGGAUUGUGAGAAGGAUACAAAGCCUGAGGACACGUUGGCAUUUAUUCCUCAUGCUGCUUCUGAGGACACACAAGAGGGUGUUCCGGCCAAAUUAGCCAGUUAUCGGUUCCUCGAGUAACUUUGGUUUUGGACACCUGACUUGACUCUGUGAGCGAGCAGGCAGCUGUUUUCCCUGAGUGUGUUUGCCUCUUGGCUUUCCUGUCACUACAUGAACGUUCAGCCCACGGAUUUCUGUUAUCUAAUCAGGUGCAUCGGUCCGCGGUGGAGAUGAGAGGGGAGGAACACCCCUCUGACUCAGAUUUUGCACAAACAAAACUCAGCCUUGUUAACAAAGGCAGGGAGGAGUGCCCACGGCUGCUCAGAUCAGAUCUUCCCCGACAAUCUGCGGGGCAGUGCAGAUGGGUGGGUUUUUAUGGCAAGAUAAGCAACUGGAGGGCUCCACUUUGGUAUGCUAAAUAAAAUUAAAAUGUCAAUAUUUACACAUGAC